GGCGGCGUGCCUACACAUGCAAGUUGAACGGAGUUAAUCAGCAGCACUGAGCUUGCAAGCCAACAAGCUGAAAAGCGCAAAAGAAGGUAAGACAGUUGGUUUUAAGAACUGUUGAACUUUUUUGCCAGACAGCUGGGAAGCUUGUAAGCUGGGUGCUGUUGGUUAACUUAGUGGCGGACGGGUGAGUAACACGUAGGUAACCUACCCUUAAGCUGGGGACAACUCAGGGAAACUUGAGCUAAUACCCGAUAAGACUACGGGCUGGGAGGCUUGUAGUAAAAGGAGCAAUUCACUUAAGGAUGGGCCUGCGGCCUAUCAGGUAGUUGGCGGGGUAACGGCCCACCAAGCCAGAGACGGGUAGCCGGGCUGAGAGGUCGAACGGCCACACUGGAACUGAGACACGGUCCAGACUCCUACGGGAGGCAGCAGUGGGGAAUAUUGCACAAUGGGGGAAACCCUGAUGCAGCGACGCCGCGUGGAGGAUGAAGGUCUUCGGGUUGUAAACUCCUUUUCUUGGGAAAGAUAAUGACGGUACCCAAGGAAUAAGCCACGGCUAACUCUGUGCCAGCAGCCGCGGUAAGACAGAGGUGGCGAGCGUUGUUCGGAAUUACUGGGCUUAAAGGGCGAGUAGGCGGUGGAGCAAGUCUGAGGUGGAAUCUUAGGGCUUAACCCUAAAACUGCCUUAGAAACUGUUUUACUUGAGUCAGUGAGGGGAGGGCGGAAUUCCUGGUGUAGCGGUGAAAUGCGUAGAUAUCAGGAGGAAGGCCUGUGGCGAAGGCGGCCCUCUGGCACUGUACUGACGCUGAGGCGCGAAAGCGUGGGUAGCAAACAGGAUUAGAUACCCUGGUAGUCCACGCCCUAAACGGUGGGCAUUAGGUGUAGGGCCCGUAAGGGUUCUGUGCCGAAGGGAAACCAUUAAAUGCCCCGCCUGGGGAGUACGCCG
rnacentral:rRNA from 1 species